rnacentral:rRNA from 1 species
UACAGAGGUCCCGAGCGUUGUUCGGAUUCAUUGGGCGUAAAGCGCGCGCAGGCGGUCCUUUAAGUCUGAUGUGAAAGCCCACGGCUCAACCGUGGAGGGUCAUUGGAAACUGGGGGACUUGAGUGCAGGAGAGAAGAGUGGAAUUCCACGUGUAGCGGUGAAAUGCGUAGAGAUGUGGAGGAACACCAGUGGCGAAGGCGACUCUUUGGCCUGUAACUGACGCUGAGGCGCGAAAGCGUGGGGAGCGAACAGG